rnacentral:rRNA from 1 species
GCUAAUACCGGAUAACAACAGAUGAUGCCUAUCAACUGUUUAAAAGAAUGGUUCUGCUAUCACUCUUGGAUGGACCUGCGGUGCAUUAGCUAGUUGGUAGGGUAACGGCCUACCAAGGCGAUGAUGCAUAGCCGAGUUGAGAGACUGAUCGGCCACAUUGGGACUGAGACACGGCCCAAACUCCUACGGGAGGCAGCAGAC